AAUCGAUGAUCCUCGAUAUACCUCACCAUUUUUUGCUUUUUCAGCCUGUAUACCUCCGUCGCAAACCUACCACCUGAGUGUCCCAAAGUAAGUCCAACUGGGCCCCAACACGCCAAUACGUCAGGUCAAGGUGCAGCCCAUAAAAUGGGAAGCAAUGGGCUACAAUUUCUAAAAUAGAACAAACAUAAAACUGCAUGAAACAUAGUCAUGAAGGCGGAUUUAGUAGUAAAAGAAGAACAGCAAGCUUCUUUUAACAGGGCCCUGGGACGUGUACAAACCGCCCGUCACCCUCUUCAACAGCACCCAUCUAGCUAUAUAACAUCUUCUUAGCACCCUAGAAGAGGCAAGUCGUAACAUGGUAAGUGUACUGGAAAGUGCACUUGGAAAACAAAGUAUAGCUUAAUUAAAGCAUUUCGCUUACACCGAAAAAACAUCUGUUAAACUCAGUUUACCUUGAGCCCUAAAUCUAGCC
rnacentral:rRNA from 1 species